UACGGAGGGGGCUAGCGUUGUUCGGAAUUACUGGGCGUAAAGCGCACGUAGGCGGCCUGUUAAGUCGGGUGUGAAAGCCCUGGGCUCAACCCAGGAAGUGCACUCGAAACUGGCGGGCUUGAAUAUGGAAGAGGGUCGCGGAAUUCCCGGUGUAGCGGUGAAAUGCGUAGAGAUCGGGAGGAACACCUGCGGCGAAAGCGGCUCACUGGACCAUAACUGACGCUGAUGCACGAAAGCUAGGGGAGCAAACAGG
rnacentral:rRNA from 1 species